rnacentral:tRNA from 1 species
UGGGGUGUAGCUUAGUUGGUAGAGUGCUUGCCUAGCCUUGAGUAAGCCCUAGGUUUGAUCCCUAGCACCACAU